CUUUGAUAAGAAUUAUUUGGGGAUCUGCCAAUUUGGUGGUGCGGCAAGCAGUUGGGCCAAAGGUGCAGAGGCAUGGCGACAUGGAUCCGCUUCCGAUUAUUCUAGGUAGAGAUAUUGAAUACCAAUAGUAAUAUAUCUUCUGGUCAGGUCAAUAACUAGUUUAAAUGUGUUUAUGACAGGUACAUGGAUUGAUCUGAAGCAACAUUUGAUUGGAGGUGUAGUGGACAAUGGUUCGAGGCUGGGACGAAAUUCUUCAGAUUGAACUGGCUGAUGCUGUUGAAUCUGGGGUGGGUGCAUAAGGAUAUCAGAAUAUGGAUUGCACUUAAAUCGGAUUCUUGAAAGAAAGUGAGAGGGAGAGAAGAAUAAGAAGGAAAAAUAUGAGAGAGAGAGAGAGAGAGAGAGAGAAGAAGGAAAAGGAAAAAGAAAAAAAAAAAGAGAAAGAGAGAAGG
rnacentral:lncRNA from 1 species